rnacentral:misc_RNA from 1 species
UCCGAGUUGACCCCGGCAGUCUCCUAUGAGUCCCCACCAUAACGUGCUGGCCACAUAGGAUAAGGGUUGCGCUCGUUGCGGGACUUAACCCAACAUUUCACAACACGAGCUGACGACAACCAUGCACCACCUGUGAACCGGCCCCAAAGGGGAAACCACAUUUCUGCGGCGAUCCGGCCCAUGUCAAGCCUUGGUAAGGUUCUUCGCGUUGCCUCGAAUUAAGCAACAUGCUCCGCCGCUUGUGCGGGCCCCCGUCAAUUCCUUUGAGUUUCGGUCUUGCGACCGUACUCCCCAGGCGGAGUGUUUCACGCGUUAGCUGGGCCCCUGAUCCACGUAGACCAAGGGCGAACACUCAUCGUUUACGGCGUGGACUAC